CGCGUAGGCGGCUAAUCAAGUCAGAUGUAGAAAGCCCCGGGCUCAACUCGGGAAUUGCAUCUGAAACUGAAUAGCUUGAGUUCUGGAGGGGAUGGUGGAAUUCCCAGUGUAGCGGUGAAAUGCGUAGAUAUUGGGAGGAACACCUGCGGCGAAGGCGGCCAUCUGGACAGUGACUGACGCUGAGGCGCGAAAGCUAGGGGAGCGAACGGGAUUAAGAUACCCCGGUAGUCCUAGCCGUAAACGAUGGGCACUUGGUGUUGGGGGUAUUGAGUCCCUCGGUGCCGGAGCUAACGCGAUAAGUGCCCCGCCUGGGGAGUACGGUACGCAAGACUGAA
rnacentral:rRNA from 1 species